rnacentral:rRNA from 1 species
AACGAACGCUGGCGGCAUGCCUAACACAUGCAAGUCGAACGAAGGCUUCGGCCUUAGUGGCGCACGGGUGCGUAACGCGUGGGAAUCUGCCCUUAGGUUCGGAAUAACAGUUAGAAAUGACUGCUAAUACCGGAUGAUGACGUAAGUCCAUAGAUUUAUCGCCUGAGGAUGAGCCCGCGUAGGAUUAGCUAGUUGGUGUGGUAAAGGCGCACCAAGGCGACGAUCCUUAGCUGGUCUGAGAGGAUGAUCAGCCACACUGGGACUGAGACACGGCCCAGACUCCUACGGUAGGCAGCAGUGGGGAAUAUUGGACAAUGGGCGCAAGCCUGAUCCAGCAAUGCCGCGUGAGUGAUGAAGGCCUUAGGGUUGUAAAGCUCUUUUACCCGUGAUGAUAAUGACAGUAGCGGGAGAAUAAGCCCCGGCUAACUCCGUG